rnacentral:lncRNA from 1 species
GACCCGCGCGGCGGCGCUCGACGGCGGAUUCCCGGGCAGCGAGGCGCGCGCGGGGCUGGCUUCGGUUCAGAUCCGCGGCCUCGCCUUGUCGUUCGCGGUCGGAGGCUGGGCGCCGGCGCUAAUGGGAAUCCGGGCAGCGCGGCAGGCGGGACUCAGACCUGGCCACCGCGUCAGGUGGACCUGGGCUCUGGUCUCGGCUCCCCGGCUCGCGUUUGUGUUGACCUUGGCCCAAGCGCAGUGUGCUCUAUGGCGAAAUCCGAGUAGGAGUGACCCCUCUGGGGUGAUAUCGAGCGUGCUGGCGUUCCUUUCAGCGGCACAGGGAUUGCAGGGUGCAGAGUCAUGAGAACAUCACUGUCCCGGGAAGGGACCCUGAGUGGCAGGCAGCCCCAGAGCGGACUGACCGAAGCGCGCGCUGGACGUUUCCUCCCUGUGUUCCUUCGCAGUGUCGAGUUUCCUCCGCCCUCUGCCCUCCCUCUUUUUUGCGUGUAACCAUCAGAAGGGUUGCAAAACUCGUGCCAGGAACACCCAG